ACUCAAAACUAUCCUUUUAACUCUUGCAUUUCCUCUCCUCCCAACUCCCACUCACAAAGCCCAAAUGGCCACCACACUUUCCGGCCCCAUGAUGAGCACCUCCUUCCUCCGCCGUCAGCAGCCGGUGGCCACCGGCUUCCGGGCCAACAUGGGUCAGGCUCUGUUCGGACUCAAACCAUCCAACAAAAACAGGGGAGGCAGAGUAACUUGCAUGGCCACGUAUAAAGUGAAGCUGCUUACACCAGAAGGGGAGAAAGAAUUUGAGUGCCCAGAUGAUGUUUACAUUUUGGACCAAGCUGAAGACAUUGGAAUUGAC
rnacentral:lncRNA from 1 species